GGGUUUUGGAGAGGGUUUUGACUUGAGAGGGUUUUGACUUGAGUGUUUGAAGUUUUUUGAGGAGGGGUUUUGGAGAGGGUUUUGACUUGAGAGGGUUUUCAUGGGAGAGUGUUUUAAGUUUUUUGAGGAGGGGUUUUGGAGAGGGUUUUGACUUGAGAGGGUUUUCAUGGGAGAGUGUUUUAAGGUAAGGGAGCAGGGGUUUUGGAGAGGGUUUUGACUUGAGAGGGUUUUGACUUGAGUGAAGUCUUUUGAGGAGGGGUUUUGGAGAGGGUUUUGACUUGAGAGGGUUUUCAUGGGAGAGUGUUUUAAGGUAAGGGAGCAGGGGUUUUGGAGAGGGUUUUGACUUGAGAGGGUUUUCAUGGGAGAGUGUUUUAAGGUAAGGGAGCAGGGGUUUUGGAGAGGGUUUUGACUUGAGAGGGUUUUGACUUGAGUGUUUGAAGUUUUUUGAGGAGGGGUUUUGGAGAGGGUUUUGACUUGAGAGGGUUUUCAUGGGAGAGUGUUUUAAGUUUUUUGAGGAGGGGUUUUGGAGAGGGUUUUGACUUGAGAGGGUUUUCAUGGGAGAGUGUUUUAAGGUAAGGGAGCAGGGGUUUUGGAGAGGGUUUUGACUUGAGAGGGUUUUGACUUGAGUGUUUGAAGUUUUU